rnacentral:rRNA from 1 species
UACGUAGGGUGCAAGCGUUGUCCGGAAUUAUUGGGCGUAAAGAGCUCGUAGGCGGUUUGUCGCGUCUGCUGUGAAAACUCGGGGCUUAACUCCGGGCCUGCAGUGGGUACGGGCAGACUAGAGUGCGGUAGGGGAGACUGGAAUUCCUGGUGUAGCGGUGAAAUGCGCAGAUAUCAGGAGGAACACCGGUGGCGAAGGCGGCUCUCUGGGACGGUACUGACACUGAGACGCGAAAGCGUGGGGAGCGAACAGG